GUGACUGACUCUUGUCUUGGAUUUGCCUAUGGGGGCAAUGUGACAUACCUCUGCACUGAUCACCCAGGUGAUAUAACUCUUCUCUAGGAUCUGCCUACAGGGUGCUUUGUGACAUAUCCCUGCAAUGAUCACCCAGGUGAUGUACCACUUGUCAAGGCUCUGCCUACAGGGGCAUUGCGAUGUAUCUCUGCACUGAUCACCUAGGUCAUGUAACUCUUGUCUAGGCUCUGCCUACAGUGGCAUUGUGACAUAUCUCUGCACUGAUCACCCAAGUAAUGGGACUCUUGUCUAGGAUCUGCCUAAAGGGACUUUGUGACAUAACUCUGCACUAAUCAUCCAGGUGAUGGGGCUUUUGUCUAGGCUCUGCCUAAGGGGGCAUUGUGACGUAUUUCUGCACUGAUCACCCAGGAGACGGACUCUUGUCUUGGAUCUGCCUAUGGGGGCAUUGUGACAUAUAUCUGCACUGAUCACCCAGGUGAUGUAACUGUUGUAUAAGCUCUGCCUACAGGGGAAUUGUGAGAGAUCUCGCCACUGAUCACCCAAGUGAUGUAACCCUUGUCUAGGCUCUGCCAAAAGGGGGCAUUGUGACAUAACUCUGCACUGAUCACCCAGGUGAUGGGACUCUUGUCUAGGCUCUGCCUACAGGGGCAUUGUGACAUAUCUCUGCAGUGAUCACGCAGGUGAUGUAACUCUUGUCUAUAUCUGUCUACUGGUGGCAUUGUGGCAUAUUUCUGCACUGAUCACCCAGGUGAUGGACUCUUGUCUUGGAUCUGCCUAUGGGGGCAUAGUGACAUAUCUCUGCACUGAUCACUCAUGUGAUGUAACGCUUGUCUAAGCUGCGCCUAAAGGCGAAUUGUGACAGAUAUCUCCACUGAUCACCCAGGUGAUGUAACUCUUGUCUAGGCCCCACCUACAGGGGGUAUUGUGACGUAUCUCUGCAGUGAUCACCCAGGUGAUGUAACACUCAUCUAGGCUCUGCCUACAGGGGCGUUUUGACAUAGCUCUGCACAGAUCAUCUAGGUUAUGUAACUUUUGUCCACUCUCUGCCUACAGGGGGCAUUGUGAAAUAUCUCUGCACUGAUCACCCAGGUGAUGGGACUCUUCUCUAUACUCUGCCUAGAGGGGGAUUUGUGACAUAUCUCUGCACUGAUCACCCAGGUGAUGGAAGUCUUGUCUAGGCUCUGUCUAUGGGGGCAUUGUGUCAAAUAUCUGCACUGAUCACCCAGGUGAUGUAACUCUUGUCUAGGCUCUGUCUACAGGGAUUUUUGUGACAUAUCACUGCACUGAUCACCUAGGUGAUGUAAACCUUGUAUGGGCUUUGCCUACAGAAGGCUUUGUGACAUAUCUAUGCACUGAUCUCUGAGGUGAUUCAACUCUUGUCUAGGCACUGCCUACAGGGCACAUUGGUACAUAUCUCUGCACUGAUCACCCAGGUGAUGGACCCUUGUCUUAGAUCUGCCUACAUGGACAUUGUGACACAUCUCUGAACUGAUCAACCAAGUGAUGAAACUCUUGUCUAGGCUCUGCCUACAGGGGCUUUGUGACACAUCUCUGCACUGAUCACCCUGGGGAGGGAACUCUUGUCUACGCUCUGCCUACAGGGGCUUUGUGACACAUCUCUGCACUGAUCACCCUGGGGAGGGAACUCUUGUCUACGCUCUGCCUACAGGAGGCUUUAUGACUAAUACUUACACUGAUAACCUAGGUGAUGUAACACUUGUCUAGGCUCUGCCUACACGGGAAUUCUCACAUAUCUCUGCACUGAUAACCUAGGUGAUGUAACACUUGUCUAGGCUCUGCCUACAAGGGAAUUCUCACAUAUCUCUGCACUGAUCCCCCAGGUGAUGUAACUCCUGUCUAGGUUCAGCCUACAGGAGCGUUUUGACAUAUCUCUGCACUGAUCACCCAGGUGAUGUAACACUUGUC
rnacentral:lncRNA from 1 species